AACGCUUCUUGGCCUUUUGGCUAAGAUCAAGUAUAGUAUCUGUUCUUAUCAGUUUAAUAUCUGAUACGUCCUCUAUCCAAGGACAAUAUAUUAAAUGGAUUUUUGGAGCUGGGAGUUGGAAUAGGAGCUUGCUCUGUCCACUCCAUGCAUUGACCUGGUAUUGCUGUACCUCCAGGAGAAAAGAGAGGACA
rnacentral:snRNA from 1 species